GACGAACGUUGGCGGCGUGCUUAACACAUGCAAGUCGAACGGAAAGGCCCUGCUUUUGUGGGGUGCUCGAGUGGCGAACGGGUGAGUAACACGUGAGUAACCUGCCCUUGACUUUGGGAUAACUUCAGGAAACUGGGGCUAAUACCGGAUAGGAGCUCCUGCUGCAUGGUGGGGGUUGGAAAGUUUCGGCGGUUGGGGAUGGACUCGCGGCUUAUCAGCUUGUUGGUGGGGUAGUGGCUUACCAAGGCUUUGACGGGUAGCCGGCCUGAGAGGGUGACCGGCCACAUGGGGACUGAGAUACGGCCCAGACUCCUACGGGAGGCAGCAGUGGGGAAUAUUGCACAAUGGGCGGAAGCCUGAUGCAGCAACGCCGCGUGCGGGAUGACGGCCUUCGGGUUGUAAACCGCUUUCGCCUGUGACGAAGCGUGAGUGACGGUAAUGGGUAAAGAAGCACCGGCUAACUACGUG
rnacentral:rRNA from 1 species